ACCCACAUCUGCUGGGGCCCAGGGAGGUGGGUGCAACAGACAGACCUAUGACCGCCAUCUUCCUCCCUCCUCUGGCUGGUAGCUUGGUAAAUGCCUGCUGCACUGCCAGAAGUGUAGACUGUCCUCAGUGCCUUCCUGCAAGCUGCUGCUUCACGCUGAAAAACAGGGAAGUGGCAUCAGGAAGGGGUAUCGCUGGCUGCAGAGGCAGAUAGCACUGCAGUACCAGCCACCUUGGUCUGCGCAGGAGCACCAACACGGGCUAUAGCUAGGAGGAGCACUCACAGAAUGGAGAGAGUCACAGGAUCCAAACAGGUCUGCUCCUUCCCCAGGUCAGUGCCUCACUUCUUCUUGUGGCCUCCCUUGGAGCUCUUCAUGGCGGGCUUCUGGAGAGGCUGGAAGGCCACACAGAAGAUUCCUGCUGUCCUGAACCUACUACAAAGGCACAAAAGACCAGGAAGACAUAAACACUUGAGCUGCAAGGGACCUUUAAAGACCAUCUAAUCCAACUUCGUGCAAUGAACAGGGAUGCCUACGGCUGAUCAGGGUGCUCAGAAUCUGGUCCAGGGCCAGGAUGAUGUACAGUAAGAAUAAAAUUUCAUCAAAAAUAUCUGACGAACCCCUUGAUAACUUACUAAGAAUAGCAACCACUGCCAUCAAACCAGACUGAUGCAUUAGUUUCACAAAAACAAGGUCAAAUAUCCCACUGCUUUUAUGGUUCUGUUACUCUUUUUAUGUUUCAGUAGGAAAAUGUGGGGAAAAAAAGUGCCUUAUGUACAUUAACUAUGUUUCCUAUUUUAUAUGUGGCUCAAGACAAGUCCUCUUCACACAGUGCAGCUCCAAGGUUGGACAUCCAUGCUGUACAUGAAUGUUAUAAGGAAGGCAGGCUUACAGGAGCACGGGAUUUCUGCUUAAUCAUCCCGUGUCAUCUUCUAUUCUCCCAGCCCCAAACAAACAAACAAACAAACAAGCCAACCAGGAAUUAAAGGUUGUAUUAUCACAUUUGCCACACAAGGAAGCAAAUUUAGAUGCUUAGCAGGUUUGUGGAAAGGUAUUGCAGAGGUAGAGGAGAAUCACCUCAGGGUGCCCAUGCUGCUGAGUGAUCACUGUAGGUAUGAUGCCCCCUGGGACCCCUGAUCCCUGCCCUCUCCUCUCCUUGCAGUCUCACAUGUCUCAGGACCUAUUUGUCCUUUCCCAGCAGUGCAGCCACGCUCCCGCCUCAGGCAGAUGUGGCUCUGCAGUCUCCCACUGCCCACAGACCUGCCUGUGCUAGUGCCCUGUGCUAGCUGGGGAAGAGAGUGCGUAACCGAGCGAAGGCACAUAGCUUGGAUAUGAAGCCAAGGCCUGGCAGCCUGCCAGCGGUGCAGGCGCAGUAUUGGUGAGCCUGCAGCCUGGUCCCAGCUGACUUGGAGGCAGCCUGGCUGAGAAGCUGGGAUAAACAGGAAAGAGCUGUCACCCACAUACUGCCGAGGUCUUUCGCAGACAGCCCCUUUGCCUCUCAGCCCAUGACUUUUGGACAGGAGAGCCUGUGGCUCUACCAUAGCGGUGCAAGUGAGCAACCCACGCAUUGCUGGCCCCCAGCUGGCUCCUCUGCUGUGCCUCAGGGUGGAUGCUGCUGGAGCUCCAUGCCUCAGCUCUGUGUGUUGGGACCCAGAGCUGCCUAGGGUGUCUGGGCAACACAGGGCUCAUUGGGAUGCUGGUAUCGGGAUGGCACAUGCCUUCCCAAUCUCUGUUUGCAGGCAGGGAGCACCUUCCCCUCAGCGAGCUGCAGGUGGGCAGAGGGAGCAGGACAGGAGGCAUGCAGGUCUGGCCUUGGGGCAGGGGGAGCUCCUGGUGAUCCCCAUGCAGGGGCACACAGCUGUGCAGAGCCUAGAAGCAAGAGGCUGGCAGUCCCUCGCAGCCGGGGAAGGGAGGCUCCCUCCUCAAUGUUAGCACCUGACAGCACUGCUUGUUCCCUUGGCAGCUCCCCCCAUUGCCAUGGCAUUGCAGGGGUGGGGGACACCGCUGGAGGAUACUUACAGGUUGCCCAUCAGGAUGAGUGCGGAGCUGAAACAAGCUGCAGAGCAGAUCCUGCCUGUGGCUGCUGUCAGGUCCUGUGCUAUCUGAGCUCUGAAGUACAACCCCUGUUACGCAAGGCUUUAUGCCUUCUGCUUUCUGUUUUGGUUUAGAGGGUUCUGGGAUCCUGCUGCUGUGCUCCUCCCAGAUACUGCGUCAUAAAAGUGUGAGAGGAAAGAACACAAGCCAAGCUGCCACUGUCUCAGCUGGGCGGAGAGUUGCACUUUCUUUUCCUGGCCCUGCCAGCUGUUGUAUAUAACUGACUGGGUAAUGGGAAUUGUGCUGCUAGAAUGGCUUGGGCAGCUGUGGGGGCCAAGAGGAGUUCGCUUCAUUGGAAUGCUUCUGUAGAGAUGACCAUCUGUAGCUGUGUUGUGGGUGUUGUGAAGCUGAAGCUUGCAUCACCAGUUCUCCUGUGUUUUUGAGUUCCUGGUGAGUCACUGCAAGCUUAGCAGAAGUUGGCAAGAAAAGAUCUGGGUUUUUAGCCCUACACCUAAAGCUGCUUAUUCAGCACCUGUGCGCAAAACCACUUCCUUCUCUCACACCCAAUUUCUGAUCCCUUUUCCUAUUUAUGCGUCUUCAGCUUCUGCUUUGCAGCCCGACUCCUGGCUAACAUUGUCUCUGCCAGCUGCAGUUUGCAGUGUGUGUGGAGUCAUUUUGGUGUUAAAGAUCUGGAUCAAGGUGGUUCUGAUCACAAGUGGAUUGGGCAAGGAUUUUGGUGGGGGAAAUCAGAGGGAAAGGGCUUGCAGCAAAUGACCUCUAGCAGGCCACAGCUGCUGAGGUGAAUGUGGUGACUGUGGUGAAUGACCUAGCUGCAAAGGGAAGCCUUGGAAGUGAGCAUGGCCAUCAUCUGGACACUGUGGUUGCCAGCUGGG